GCAAGAACACUGAACAGAAAAUGUAUUCUUAAAAGACUGGAGUUGUCUGUAAAUUAUAGUAACUUUGUGAUCCGAACUGAAGGCAGACAGAAAGAGAUCGAAAAUUCACAAAUUUGCCCCUCCAAGUCCAGAGCCGCCCCCCGCCCUAGUCACUGUGAACUCCAUUCCAUCACUCCACAAACGCAGCUGAAAAACCCAUCAAGCCUCUUUGGAUAUCGGAGAUCCUUCCCACAAGAACAAAUCAAGAUUGAAAUUUGAGUUGAAUGGGGAGCUUAGGGAGAGCAGUGUACACGUUAGGACUUUGGGUUCGGGAAACGGGUCAGGCCAUGGAUCGCCUCGGGUGCCGCCUCCAAGGAAAUUAUUAUUUUCAAGAACAACUGUCUAGGCAUCGAACGCUGAUGAACCUCUUCGAUAAAUCACCGGUUGUCGAUAGGGAUGCUUUUGUUGCCCCAAGCGCCUCUCUCAUUGGGGAUGUUCAGGUGGGACAAGGAUCAUCCAUAUGGUAUGGGUGCGUCCUCCGAGCCUUCACUACUUAUCUUGUCAAUUCAGCCUUUUAUCCUUCCUUUGCCAAUAAAACUUCGGGUGAUGUGAAUAGUAUCAGUGUUGGGUCUGGAACUAAUAUACAAGACAACUCCCUUGUGCAUGUAGCAAAAUCUAAUCUAAGCGGGAAGGUGCUACCAACUAUUAUUGGAGAUAAUGUCACUAUUGGACAUAGUGCAGUUAUACAUGGCUGCACAAUUGAGGAUGAGGCUUUUGUUGGUAUGGGAGCCACCCUACUUGAUGGUGUAGUUGUGGAGAGGAAUGCCAUGGUUGCUGCAGGAGCCCUGGUGAGACAGAAUACUAGAAUCCCUUUUGGGGAGGUGUGGGCAGGUAACCCUGCCAAGUUCCUCAGAAAGCUUACUGAUGAAGAAAUUGCCUUCAUCUCCCAAUCUGCGACCAAUUAUAUUAACCUUGCAAAGGUCCACGCUGCUGAAAAUGCCAAAUCUUUUGACGAAAUCGAAUUUGAAAAGGUGCUGCGCAAGAAAUUUGCCCGCCGUGAUGAGGAGUACGAUUCAAUGCUGGGUGUACAUCGUGAAACUCCACCAGAACUGGUUCUUCCAGAUAACAUCUUACCAAAUAAAGCCCAGAAGGCUGUUCAAUAAGAGCUUCAACUUGCAGUCCAUUUGCCUUCAGUUUUUCCUCUCUUGAAAUCUCACACCAAGAGGAAUAGAUGUGCGUGGUUUUUAUAGUCUUCUUCCUCACUUUGAUGCAAAUCUCAGCAGCAACUGCCAAUACUCUAUUGUAAAAUCAGUGGAACUGUUGAGCUUCAUCUGACUAAGCUCAGAUCAAUUGAAUAGCACUAUUUAGCUUUCCUGGAUACAAAAAUGUAAAAGUUUCGGUUCCACCAAAUCAACUUAACUCUUCAAGUAGAGAAUUAUUAUUUGUAAGUCAUUCUUCUUGCAUUAUUGUUGGUGGGAAUCUCUAAAAGCAACGUAUGAUUAGCUGGUCGGACAUUGAAAAGGCAAAGAUCUACAGGAUGAGCCAAUCCCGUGAAUUCAGCUGAGAUGAUUAUAAAGAAGACGGAAACAGCGUCCCUCACUCAUCUUCAUGCCAAUUUCUGUCGAAUGAUUGGGAUAUUCAGAUGUUGAGGAGUGUCUGUCUAUAAAUACAAAGAUAAAACAGAGCAUGGAAGGGGAGGAGUGGAAAGUGGCGGCACUGCAUUAGAGCGGGCAAUCCUCUUUCAAGAACUCAAGAAUCCCACAACACAAAUG